CGGCUGAGCGGUAGAGGGUUAGCCUGUCUAUCAUGUGCAUGGUCCUCCGAUUGCCAGCAGUGUAAGAAAGCAGCCAUAAAAUGUAAAAAGUCAUUAGCAUACUCAUAACAGGAGGCUGGGGAAGAUCACCCUAACCUUAACCCUGAGUGACCCGAACCCUAGGUUGGUAGGUCAGUACACACAGCAGCCAAAAUCGAUCAAGCACCUGGACUUUUGUGGCAUUUACCAUGGGACCCAAAAUGACCUUCACAAGACAAGUUCUGGUUUAGAGUUGAGUGCAAAGCUGCGGUUUAGGGUAGGUUCCAGAAAAAAAUGGAAGGAGGAACUGGAGGAGGCUGAAUCAAACCACACCAGGUCCAUAGCUUCCUGAGUGCUGGUUACAGGCAUGCUCCACCACAAUCACUACUUAUGGCUUUCAAGAGGAAAGCACCACAACAACCACAACCACAACAACAACAACGCAAUCCGAAUCCAGGAACCCUGGCACCAAAAGGAGGAAUCUGGGCUGCAGAUGUACCAGUGCUUGUGGGGGUCGCUUGUGGAAGGGCCUAACUUUGAUUCCCAGUUCCUGCCAGUUUUCCCAAAGAAAGAAGCUUGCUUCUGAGCUUCGGAGUGGAUACAAGCCGAUUCCUUUGUGCCUCCUGUCUCCAGUUCUCUUAUCGGGAGGAGGUAUCAGAUCAGUUGCCACCUAAAGCUGCCAACCUGCUUAUUUGCUUUAGACCUGCCUGACAGGGCCACGCCCACAGCCCUCCGUCCCCAGGAGCGUGCGCACUGGAAUCCCGCCCCUUUCUGCAGUGAUGGACGGGCGCGCGGCUGGGUGAAGAAGACCUCGGGAGCAGCAGACCAUGACAGAAAGAACACGCCUUGGGAAUCGCUAGCGCUGGGCACAGGCCCUGCUUCUUCUGCUCUGAUCAGCGGCAUGAUGGGAAAUUUUCUUUUUUUCUUUUCUUUUUUUAUUUUUCUUUUUUUUUAAAAUCACUGAAAAUUUCUUAACUCCCUCAAACUCAGAUUUUGUUUCAAGAAAAUGAGAAUAAAACCUUCUCGGUGU